CAGUGUCACGGCUCUUUUUAAAAUUUGCAUAGCAGGUUCUCCGGUUUGCAUCAGAAACUCCCCC
rnacentral:snRNA from 1 species